UGCGUAGGCGGCUUCGUGUGUCAGAGGUGAAAGUCCACGGCUCAACCGUGGAAUUGCCUUUGAAACUGCGAAGCUUGAGUCCGGGAGAGGAAGGUGGAAUUCCUGGUGUAACGGUGAAAUGUGCAGAUAUCAGGAAGAACACCCGUGGCGAAGGCGGCCUUCUGGUCCGGUACUGACGCUGAGGCACGAAAGCUAGGGUAUCAAACG
rnacentral:rRNA from 1 species